AACCUAGCACACCUGCGGUGUGUACCUGCGGAGGGAUCAUUACCGAGUGAGGGCCCUCCGGGUCCAACCUCCCACCCGUGUUUAACGAACCUUGUUGCUUCGGCGGGCCCGCCUCACGGCCGCCGGGGGGCACCCCGCCCCCGGGCCCGCGCCCGCCGAAGACACCUGUGAACGCUGUCUGAAGUUGCAGUCUGAGACACUAGCUCAAUCAGUUAAAACUUUCAACAACGGAUCUCAGAU
rnacentral:misc_RNA from 1 species